CUUUAUCGUUGGUUUGUAUGUUUCUAGAUGUCGUAAUCUGGAUGCUCUUCUCUCUUAUUAUGGUUGAUAAUUCAGGAAAGGCCAGAAUUUAUUGCAAGAGCCUGAUUACUACCAGCAUCUUUAGUUAGUAUUGCAGAUCUGAAAUUAAUUUGAAAUGAGGCACAUUCAUAGAAUAGACAUGCUUUGUUUGCAGCACCUAUGAGAAAGCAAAACUGUAUCAACCCGUAUCCACAGUCAAAGUCUUUUUAGAAUGCACUUUGUAUACCCUUCAUGGAAAAGUCU